UCUAAUUUGCUAAUGGCUUCUUUGCAAUCCAAAGUGAUUGGAAAUGGACCAGUGUGAAAACUGAAAAGGACUUUAGUCUGAGGCUUAUUCACUGAAGAAAAUACUCAUAAUGUUACCAAAGUAUAUGUAGAUCUACAUGUAAUCACUUUCAGAUGUUCUUAAAAUGAAAACAUCAAGAUUUGAAAUCAUAAUGCAUGGACUCUAAUUGUGUAGCAUUACAAGAAAGGUGUCUCAAAUCUUGACGUCCAUGAGCAUCAAGGAAUGUUAGUAGAAUAUGCCAUCAAUAGCAAGAGAGCUAUAGCUCCGUUGGAAUCAUAAG